ensembl:lncRNA
GUAGCAGAGGAACCUGUUGAAGGCGGUUAUUUGGAAGAAGGCUGAGACUUUGAAAAGAUAGUUGUGUGCUGCACACAACAUAAACUCAGAGGGAGAAGAAGAUCUGCUAGCAGAAACUGGGAAGAUGAAUGACAGGGCAGGGAAUACAAGGAGCUCACACACAAGCCAUUUCACAGGCCACCCCGAAACUGCCCAUUCGUCUUGUGCCUUCAGCCUACCAAAAGCCCUGCUGGCCUCUCUGGAAAUAGAUUGCUAAAUAGCCUGAGCUUUUUUUGGUUUGUAGAAUUGGUGAAUCAAAGGGGCAGCAGAUUUAUUUUAUGCCUCUGAAGAUCAUUUAUAACAUGGCUAAGUGGCCCAGGGUAAAAACCACAAUAAAGGUGAUUCAUGCAGGAAACCCAUUCUGUUGAGGCAGAGAUGAAAAUCCCCAUUAAAUCACAGUCUAUUCCGUGCACGGGGUCGGAGUAGGGUGGCGUUGGAGUGAGCCAAGCUCAGUGGAUUCCCAGGCACACUGAAGGCUGAAUGCAAUUGUUCUUGUAAAAUGGGAAAAUGAGACUCCUUUAAAGGGAGAAUGCAGCCUCCAGCCUUGAGCAGGGCACUCCAGACAGGGGUGAGCUGCCCAGUGGCCCUGCCAAGUGGCCGUCUGGGACUAUAUUCCCAGAUGGCAGCCAGCCUGGAGAAUCUAUUGAAUUAUCACCAGUUCCUUGCCAGGAGGUUUUUCAUCAGCUCCACCAUUUAUCAAGACAAAUGGACCCCAUACAAAAAGCCACCUUUGCAAAUUACCCUUAAAGGGGCAUCUGUGUGACGGGAGUUAGGGACGUCUUCUGCUUCUUGGCAGUUGAACUCAACUGCAAAGUUAUUGUAUUUUCUCCUGGCUGGGAUCACCUGAGAGAGCCUCACCUUCACCUUCCCUUCUCGCCCUGAAAAUCUAACAUAUUAAAAAUGAUGUACGUGCAAGAGCAGGUCAGGUCAGAGGGCAUGUGUGAACCCACUAUUUUCCAGGUGACCUCUCUUUGUGACAAAAUUCUUCUCAGCUUCUUUCUCUUCCUUCAGCUGGCGCGGCAUUUCUUCCUUUUCCCUUCUGCUAUCUAAUCACUUUUCACUCUGAGGCAUUGGUAGGAAUCAAGUCAAGUGCUUUCUGAGUCCAGAUCCUCACUUUUUCAGUGAGAAGUUGACUGGGGCCACAUCAAAAGGCACCCCCCACACUUUUUUUUUUUUUUUACAAAUUAACCAAAAAUGUAGAUUCUUUUUAGUACAUCUAAUGUGGGGUUUUCCUUCUCCAUCGGUUCUUUCCCUUGCCUUGGCCUUUAUUCACACAGUACGGUUGCAACUUCAAAUAGUCAUUCCCGGUGAAAGACCUCUCACACAAGCUGGCUGACAGCAAGGAAUCUGAAAUGGAGACAAUCCGUAACUCCACACAGAUCAGGGUGGUACUGGCCAUAAAUCAUGGGUCCUCUUCUGUUGUCUUUAUUGAAUGCUGACAGUGGUCAUUGUGAUACAUUCUAAAGGGUGGUCCACGCAGCAUGUCCAGAGCUGUGAUAAAGGCAGGAAUUCCAUCCACAAUGAAUUUAGCAAAGACAAAAACCUCAUCAAAGCAAAGCCCCUUCCCUGAGAAAAAGUAAAAUCUGUUAACUUGUUACACUUUUGUCAAAAGUGCUGAUUUCCAUAGAGGUAACUGUCAGCCAUUGUGCUUAUGGACAAAACACCUGAAAAACAGAUUUAGAUGAGAACUGGUGGCUUUCUUCAAAAAUAAUUCCUGUCUAUUCUUAUGCCGGGAAGGGAUGCGCUGCAAACAUUAGCAGUAAGGAUGGUUUAUUUUAUGGGAAAAGCAAUCUGGUAGAUUUCAGACAGAACACUAAACUUGUGUGGUCAUGCAAAUCUCAUAAGCAUGAACUAAAACAUGCCGAGUACAUCAAUUAACCAGAGCUCCUAUUAGAUUUUUUUUUUUCCUACAAAAAUGGUUUCUCAUCUCAAAACAUCUUUUAUGUUGUUUCCCUUUCAAAGACUAAGGAUGUGCUCGUGGUAACAGACUGCUUCUCAUCACUAUACGGAGAGAAUUAAUCUAAUGAAGAGUUUCUAUUUAGGAAGAAGCAGUAGGAGGAAAGGGCAACCUAGCUUUGGCGCUUCCACUAGGCUAGGUGGAGUUUUGCAGGCUGAAGAAGCAGCUGGAAAUUCGGAUGACAGUUUUGAAAGAUGGAUGAUCAGGAAAAGGUCACCGAAAUUGAAAUGGUGGGUGGAAAAGUGGAGCAGGCCAGGAGAAGGUGGCAAAACUGAAUCAUCUCAUGCGUGUUAAAGCUUUUAAGGAACUCUUUUCUUUUUACUUCAAACAGUUUGCUAUUCUCCCUAGUGACUAACUGUCCCAUGAACUGAAUAGACUACUGGCCUUUUUUCUCCCACCCAAACCAAUUCUAAAAGCAAUUUUUUAAAUCCAGUGUAUAUGAUAAAAGAUAUACAAGACCUGAGUCAAAUUGUGAAUGUGUGUCUUUUGCUUAAGUAUGAAUUUUUUAAGGUGAAUGUUUGUUCCCAAACUACCUUAAAAACAAUGUGUGUAUUGACAAAACUAACUAUAACUUAGAAAAUUCCUUUGGCACAAGCUGGCAUGAUCAGCCACAAAAUCUUCUUCUGACUUAAAAGCUGAACCAAAUAAAACUUGACAGCAAGGCACAAUAUUUUAUAGGCAAAGUGACAUUUUAUAAUAAUGGAAUAAUAAAUGCAGAAGGGAAAAUGAAGCAAGGCUGAAAUAUCAUCUCAGACCCAUUGGCUACCAAAGAGGGGUGAAUCUCAAUUAGACCUUUCCUAUUCCUAUUGCACUAGUAAUUAUGGCAUGACUGAAGCACUCUUAAACUUAGAGAACGCCAAUAUUUCUAAUCAUGUUGUCACAUAUCUCCCAUCACUUGUUUCUAUGAGAAUCUGAUGAUACAGUGCGGAAGCCUUGGUAGCAUGCUGAAGUGGAUGGAAGAAAGCAUGGAAAAUCACAGGACCACUUUAUCAAGCACUUCGAUUUGGAACCAAAUCCAGCAAUGUUUAAGUCAUCCUGAUGAACACAGUCAACCCAAAGCAUAUCUACAAUUUGACAUAAAUCAGAUUACAAAUGGAAUGAAUAAAGACCACAAAAUGUGUUUUGGGUUCACAAUGGACUCCAGACUGGAAAAAGCCCAUCAGUCCUCAUUUUCUUCACUUAGAAAGAGACCUUUCCACAAAAGGAUGAUGUUGGCGUAA